GACAAACAGAUCGAGUUAAGAUUUUUGGUAUAAAAGGAGGUUAAGCGUUAGAUUGAUUAAGGAAAAUUUAUUUUUUAGUAUAGGGGUGGAAUCUGCAUAUUAAUUGAUUUAUUUUUAUUUUCUUUUACUGAUGCCUCGAGAUUUUUGUAGGAGACCGGGAUUAGAUACCCCGUUAUUUUAAGUAUAAACAGUGGUUAUUAAUGUAAUUUACCUGAGUAUUACGAGCUGAAAGUUAAUUUCAGAAGCUUAAAACUCAAAAAACUUGGCGGUGCCUUAAUUCCUUCCAGGGGAACCUGUCCUGUAAAUGAUAGUCCACGAUUUAGCUUACUUUUUUUUUGUAUUUUACCUGUAAGGUUGAACAGCUUGUAUACCGUCGUCGUCAGAGAACCUUUGAAAGAUAAGUAGUUUUCAGUAUAAGUGGAUUAGUAAUUGCUGUCAUAGUAGAAUUAUAUUAAUUUUUAGAUGUCAGAUCAAGGUGCAGCUAAUAGGAAAGUAGAGAUGGGUUACAUUAUUAGGUUAAUAUACGGAUUUUAGGUUGUAAUACCUAAGUGAAGGCGGACUUGGGAGUAAUUUAAUAGUUAAAUAGUGAGUUUAUGUGAAAAGGGUACUAAGGUGCGU
rnacentral:rRNA from 1 species